AGGGCACCACCAGGAGUGGAGUCUGCGGCUUAAUUUGACUCAACACGGGAAAACUCGCCCGGCCCGGACACUGGAAGGAUUGACAGAUUGAGAGCUCUUUCUUGAUUCAGUGGGUGGUGGUGCAUGGCCGUUCUUAGUUGGUGGAGUGAUUUGUCUGGUUAAUUCCGAUAACGAACGAGACUCUAGCCUACUAAAUAGAUCGUCGGCUUACAAACGCCGGCGAGACUUCUUAGAGGGACAGGCGGUGAUUCAACCGCACGAAACAGAGCAAUAACAGGUCUGUGAUGCCCUUAGAUGUCCGGGGCCGCACGCGCGCUACACUGAAGUGAUCAGCGUGCUUUUUCAACCUACUCUGUCAAGAGUGGGGAACCCAAUGAACCUUCUUCGUGAUUGGGAUAGGGGAUUGUAAUUAUUCCCCUUGAACGAGGAAUUCCCAGUAAGCGCGAGUCAUAGGCUCGCGUUGAUUACGUCCCUGCCCUUUGUACACACCGCCCGUCGCUACUACCGAUUGAAUGUUUU
rnacentral:rRNA from 1 species